CUACGGGUGGCACCAGUGGGGAAUAUUGGACAAUGGGGGAAACCCUGAUCCAGCAAUGCCGCGUGUGUGAAGAAGGCCUGCGGGUUGUAAAGCACUUUCGGUUGGGAGGACUGCUUCUAGCACUAAUAUUGUUGGAAGUUGACGUUACCUUCAGAGGAAGCACCGGCUAACUCCGUGCCAGCAGCCGCGGUAAUACGGAGGGUGCGAAGCGUUAAUCGGAAUUACUGGGCGUAAAGCGCGCGUAGGCGGCUAGAUCAGUCGGGUGUGAAAGCCCCGGGCUUAACCUGGGAACUGCAUCCGAUACUGUCUAGCUUGAGUACAGGAGAGGAGAGUGGAAUUCCACAUGUAGCGGUGAAAUGCGUAGAUAUGUGGAGGAACACCAAUGGCGAAGGCAGCUCUCUGGCCUGAUACUGACGCUGAGGUGCGAAAGCGUGGGGAGCAAACAGGAUUAGAUACCCGUGUAGUC
rnacentral:rRNA from 1 species